GGAAGCAUUGAGCAAUUGGUUGGCUCACGAGAUUGUAAAUCUUGUUUCAUAAUGAACGCGUAGGUUCAAGUACUACUGCUUCCA
rnacentral:tRNA from 1 species